UACGAAGGGUGCAAGCGUUACUCGGAAUUACUGGGCGUAAAGCGUGCGUAGGUGGUUUGUUAAGUCUGAUGUGAAAGCCCUGGGCUCAACCUGGGAAUUGCAUUGGAUACUGGCAGGCUAGAGUGCGGUAGAGGAUGGCGGAAUUCCCGGUGUAGCAGUGAAAUGCGUAGAGAUCCGGAGGAACCCCAGAGGCGAAGGCGGCGCCCUGGCUCGCAACUGACGCUCAGACACGACAGCAUGGGGAGCGAACGGG
rnacentral:rRNA from 1 species